GGAGGUUGUAAGGGAUGUCCACUCUUGAAGCACCAGCCAGCAGGGAAAAUAUCCCUGGAAUCGUAUCGACACCAAUAAUCAAAAGCUCCUUUCCAGCCGUCGAAGAUACAAUUCCCAGUCAAAGGUCUGAUAAGUUUCGUACUGAAAGGGACCGCUAGAUGUGGACGGGGGAUGGGAAUUCACUGAUGGAUUGAUCGGGGAAGGAUUUAUUGGAAUUGGAGGUGUCGAAACUGUAGAAGUGGAGGAGAAGGUGGGAGUCAAGGAAGAAUUGCCAUUAGUGCUGGGUAUUCCGGAAGGUGCUGGAGAAGCUGCUGGGGAUGGUUGUUCCCCAGAAUCUGUCAAUACCCAGAACCAUAACUCUCAUUAUUAUUAGUAUUCAAGGCAGUCUAUCAGUUGUACAGUUGGUAUAAAUUAUGUUGCAUGUUCGGGGAAGCUUUACAUUGUAAUGAAAAUAUGAGUUACAUGCUAUUCUCCUUUUAUCAAAAAAGAAAAAUGUAAUUUUUAUUUUUCCCAAAAUAUCAAGGAUAUACAAGUAAAUCGUAUAUCUGUUUUUCAGUUAUCUUUCUCACACUCAAGCAUCUGAUAUAUUACUUUUGCAUAAUACUGGAGUAAUCUACAGUGAAAUUUUAGUGUCAUAAAAAUAAAUAAAUAUGUUGAAAAGUAA